rnacentral:lncRNA from 1 species
AGGGGUGAGGGCGACGUAUCGGACACCCUCGCUCUGGGUUUGUCCUCCGUGUUGAAGGCCUUCAGUCGACCCGACUGGGACACGGUGCGGCCGGCGUGGAGUCUGAUGCGAAUGUCGCACGGAGAGCUUUUCUAUUCCCUGGGCGUCUACUACCGGUGUCCGUUGGAAACAACUCCGGAAGCCGUGCACGAAAUUAACGCGGCAAUGAUCUACGCGGGAGAUUUUGCGUCGGUGUUCCGCUGUCCGGCCGAUUCGCCGAUGGCGGUGAAGCCCCGGUGUACCCUUCAAAACGUGCCUGCCGCUUGAUGA